UAGCUUCUCUCUCUAGGAAGCAUUAGAGCUGGACAUUUGAGGAUGUCCCAUCGCCUCCUCGAAUGGCCUGCUCAGUGAAGUAGGGGUGCACAUGACCAAUGGGGACUCCACCACAGCCAGCCUGCUUGCUGAUUUUCACCCAAAAUGUCUCCUCAGAGACCUAGUGAAUAUUUCCUGAACGCCAUUUAGCUCAGUGUCUGGGACGGAAAGCCAUCUUUGUCCUCCGGCCUAUAUUUUGGAUGGGAACCCGAUCGCCGUCAAGAUUAAGUGACUUAUCCAUGAAGAUAGACUAGUAGGAGAAAGAGCCAUUACUCAAAGCCUGGUGUUGACUGCACAUCAGGAGCCAAUACGCGGAGAAUCUGAGGGACCUUUCUGACAACGGCUGUUACCAGCGUGGGCCUGGGAAUGGGUUCACAUACAAUAGCUCAGGACAGACCAUGAGAAAGCAGGACUCACUCAAGACCUGUGGCUCAAGACAUCGUCUCCAAUGAGAACAGAACCUUGCCCAAAUAAGAUCACAUGUGGGUGAGAAAAUGGAGGAAGACCUCGAGACUGGCUAACUUCAUUUUAUCCUGCAGACGAAAUCGUGAAUGGAAGCUGAAGUACACACAUAAUCACACACACUGGCACACACACUCUCACAGAC
rnacentral:lncRNA from 1 species